AUGGAUCGGCUGAAGGCUCCCGACUGUGUGUCCAGGGGGAGAGAACCAAGUACACGACCACCGUGUGUAGAAACAUUGUCGGCUGCUGCAAAGCCAUAGACAUGGGAUGAAGAUUGUCCAUGCUACCUGGACAAAGAGAGCGAAACAUCUUGCUGAAGACCUCUGAUCGCUGUGAGGGUAAACCGGGAUAGGAGCCUUCAGAAGAAACUGAAAUCGCUGACAGCCAGGCAUGUAGAUCCAGCAAAAAGAGUAAACAAAUUGCCAUCUAAUCAGUUUGCUUUAUGAAAUGCAAAAAUAAGAUCAAGAAGAAUUGAUGUCAAUAAAGGCAACAUGCCUUUAAAAUAUA